GACGAACGCUGGCGGCGUGCUUAACACAUGCAAGUCGAACGAAGAGCGAUGGAAGCUUGCUUCCGUCAAUCUUAGUGGCGAACGUGUGAGUAACGCGUAAUCAACCUGCCCUUCAGAGGGGGACAACAGUUGGAAACGACUGCUAAUACCGCAUACGAUCUAACCUUGGCAUCGAGGAUGGAUGAAAGGUGGCCUCUAUUUAUAAGCUAUCACUGAAGGAGGGGAUUGCGUCUGAUUAGCUAGUUGGAGGGGGAACGGCCCACCAAGGCGAUGAUCAGUAGGCGGUCUGAGAGGAUGAACGGCCACAUUGGGACUGAGACACGGCCCAGACUCCUACGGGAGGCAGCAGUGGGGAAUCUUCCGAAAUGGACGAAAGUCUGACGGAGCAAAGCCGCGUGAGUGAUGACGGCCUUCGGGUUGGAAAGCUCUGUUAAUCGGGAAGAAAGGCCUUCUUGCGAAUAGUUAGAAGGAUUGACGGUACCGGAAUAGAAAGCCACGGCUAACUACGUG
rnacentral:rRNA from 1 species